GACGAACGCUGGCGGCGUGCUUAACACAUGCAAGUCGAACGAAGUGGCGAACGGGUGAGUAACGCGUAAUCAACCUGCCCUUCAGAGGAGGACAACAGUUGGAAACGACUGCUAAUACCGCAUACUGAAGGCGGGGAUUCGGUCUGAUUAGGUAGUUGGGGGGGUAACGGCCCACCAAGGCGAUGAUCAGUAGCCGGUCCUGGAGGGUGAACAGCCACCAUGGGACUUAGACACGGCCCAGACUCCUACGGGAGGCAGCAGUUGGGGAUCUUUCGGAAUGGGCGAAAGUCUGACGGAGCAACGCCGCGUUGGUGAUGACGGCCUUCGGGUUGGAAAGCUCUGUUAAUCGGGACGCGGUACCGGAAUAGAAAGCCACGGCUAACUACGUGCCAGCAGCCGCGGUAAUAC
rnacentral:rRNA from 1 species